rnacentral:rRNA from 1 species
CCUGGUUGAUCCUGCCAGUUAUCAUAUGCUUGUCUCAAAGAUUAAGCCAUGCAUGUCUAAGUGCAAGCCACAUUAAGGUGAAACCGCGGAAGGCUCAUUAUAUCAGUUAUGGUUCAAUAGAUCGUACUUCAGUUACAUGGAUAACUGCGGAAAUACUGGAGCUAAUACAUGCCAACAGAGUCCCGACCGGAGACGGAAGGGACGCUUUUAUUAGAUCAAAACCAAUCGGUGGUUUCGGCCAUCGUCUACUUUGGUGACUCUGAAUAACUUUGGGCUGAUCGCACGGCCUUCGUGCCGGCGACGCAUCUUUCAAAUGUCUGCCUUAUCAACUGUCGAUGGUAGGUUCUGCGCCUACCAUGGUUGUAACGGGUAACGGGGAAUCAGGGUUCGAUUCCGGAGAGGGAGCCUGAGAAACGGCUACCACAUCCAAGGAAGGCAGCAGGCGCGCAAAUUACCCACUCCCGGCUCGGGGAGGUAGUGACGAAAGAUAACGAUACGGGACUCAUCCGAGGCCCCGUAAUCGGAAUGACUACACUUUAAAUCCUUUAAGGAGUAUCAAUUGGAGGGCAAGUCUGGUGCCAGCAGCCGCGGUAAUUCCAGCUCCAAUAGCGUAUAUAAAAGUUGUUGCGGUUAAAAAGCUCGUAGUUGGAUCUGUGUCCCGCACCGUCGGUUCACCGCCCGACGGUGUCAAACUGACGCGAUGCGGGACGUCCUGCCGGUGGCGUGUCUAGCUGGCGGCUUUCGGGUCGUUGGGCGGCGCCGAUUCAAUCCUGUCGCGGUGCUCUUCAUUGAGUGUCGAGGUGGGCCGGCACUUUUACUUUGAACAAAUUAGAGUGCUUCAAGCAGGCUGGAUAUUGCCUGAAUGCUAGUGCAUGGAAUAAUGGAAUAGGACCCCGGUUCUAUUUUGUUGGUUUUCAGAACCAGAGGUAAUGAUUAAUGGAGACAGGCGGGGGCAUUCGUAUUGCGACGUUAGAGGUGAAAUUCUUGGAUCGUCGCAAGACGGACCGAAGCGAAAGCAUUUGCCAAGGAUGUUCUCGUUGAUCAAGAACGAAAGUUAGAGGUUCGGAGGCGAUCAGAUACCGCCCUAGUUCUUUUUCCGAAGGUACACCUUAAACGUUGGUGGCGAGACUGAAAGCCCUGCCACGCCACUCCGCCAGUUAGUUCUGCGGGGAAAGCAAGCUUUGAAGCGCGGGGGGCAGGGGGCCGCCAGUUGGCAGCGAGGGACUUGGGCGUUCUGGGUGGCGGGCGGCGGGGGGGUCGUUGGGCGCGCCGACGCCGGAGGGACGGGGCCCCGGAUGCAGCCUGGGGGGGCCGCUAUGCCACGGCGGGUGCUCCCAUUGACACCCGUCAUGUCGAGAUAUAUAUCCAGGUGGUCCCCGGGAAGGGGGUGCACAUGUCGCCAUAAAUAUAUAUACAUAUAUAUCCGACCGCUGACACCCACCCCCAGGCCCACCGGUGCGGGGGCUCGCGGGGCGGUGGCCCCCCGGGACCGCCCCCAGGACCGCCCCCAGCGCGGGGGGCAGGGGGCCGCCAGUUGGCAGCGAGGGACUUGGAAAGUCUCACUCGCGGGGCGGUGGCCCCCGGGACCGCCCCCAGCCUGGGGGAGCAGGGGGCGCCAGUUGGCGGGGUGGCCAGUUGGCGGGGCGAACCGCGGGCCCAAAUUU